GGUGAAAUUCGUAGAUAUUAGAAAGAAUACCAAUUGCGAAGGCAGCUUUCUGGAUCAUUACUGACACUGAGGAACGAAAGCAUGGGUAGCGAAGAGGAUUAGAUACCCUCGUAGUCCAUGCCGUAAACGAUGUGUGUUAGACGUUGGAAAUUUAUUUUCAGUGUCGCAGUGAAAACGAUAAACACACCGCCUGGGGAGUACGACCGCAAGGUUAAAACUCAAAUGAAUUGACGGGGACCCGCACAAGUAGUGGAGCAUGUGGUUUAAUUCGAAGAUACGCGCAGAACCUUACCAACACUUGACAUGUUCGUCGCGACUUUAAGAGAUUAAAGUUUUCGGUUCGGCCGGACGAAACACAGGUGCUGCAUGGCUGUCGUCAGCUCGUGUCGUGAGAUGUUGGGUUAAGUCCCGCAACGAGCGCAACCCUCACUUUUAGUUGCCAUCAUUAAGUUGGGCACUCUGAAAGAACUGCCAGUGAUAAGCUGGAGGAAGGUGGGGAUGACGUCAAGUCCUCAUGGCCCUUACGUGUUGGGCUACACACGUGCUACAAUGGUAUAUACAACAGGAAGCAAGACGGCGACGUUAAGCAAAUCCUCAAAAGAUACCUCAGUUCGGAUUGCACUCUGCAACUCGAGUGCAUGAAGCUGGAAUUACUAGUAAUCGUGGAUCAGCGUGCCACGGUGAAUGCGUUCCCG
rnacentral:rRNA from 1 species